GGGCCCGCACAAGCGGUGGAGUAUGUGGUUUAAUUCGACGCAACGCGAAGAACCUUACCAAGCCUUGACAUUGAUUGCUAAGGACAGAGAUGUCCCGUUCCUCUUCGGAGGACAAGAAAACAGGUGGUGCACGGCUGUCGUCAGCUCGUGUCGUGAGAUGUUGGGUUAAGUCCCGCAACGAGCGCAACCCCUAUCUUCUGUUACCAGCGAGUUAAGUCGGGGGACUCAGGAGAGACUGCCGCAGACAAUGCGGAGGAAGGCGGGG
rnacentral:rRNA from 1 species